ACAACACUAAUAUCAUUAUCCAAUUCAACUGGAAAGGUGGCUGGAGGGAAGAUACAGGUUGUCCAAAGUUAUCCUCCCGCCCCCUAUACAUAUGUUGAGAAGAAGGAUCAUGGAGAAUUUUCAACUUUCAAUGAAGAGAAUAAACAGCUAAUCUUAGCUAAUAUGAGGGACAUGGUAAUAAAAUCGAAGCUCUGGGACCAACGACACUUUGAUAAUGAAG
rnacentral:lncRNA from 1 species